GGGACAAGGAUAAUUUCCAUCAUUUGAAUGCUUCUUUCUAUAUCUUCUGAAGACUAUGUAUGCAGAGGUGAAGGGUGGAUCUUCAGGAGACGUGACAAGUGUUGAGAGCAGCUCCUGCCUGCUCCCAUUGGCAGCUGAGGGAGAGGCAGUGUUAGCACAUGGACUUACAGAGCAGCAGUGAGGAUUUGUGGUGACUAAUUAUUUGAAUAUGAAUCAACAAUGCAACACUGUGGCAAAACAAGGCAAAUGCUCAGCACUGAGUCACAUUAAUAAGAAUGUCACGCAUAAAAGAAAUGAGGAAAAAGCUGCUUUUUAGAAAAUAUCCACUCGAAGCUACUGGAACAAACAAUGAGAAGGACAACACAGCUGUAUAAGACUGG